GCCGCCGCCCGGGCGGGGAGGCUGGAGGAGCCGGCGGCGGCUCCAGUACCCGGGGAGGGGGAGUCCGGUCCCGGCCCGGCUGCCUGAGAGCGGCGCGGGUCACGGGCCGCCUCAGUGCGCAGGUGCGCCAAGAGCAGCAGAAGUGGCCAUGGAAGAGGCAGCAGAAGGGAGAACCUAGAGCCCGCUUGCCAGGAGUCAGUACCAGGAGGAAAUGGGAGAUCUUGGAGGCAGAUGCCAUCCUAGGGAAGAAGUUCCCCCACACACCAUGCCCAUGAGCUAUGCAGCUUAUGGGUAAUCUGCAUCAAUACCAGACAGACUAUUGUGGGAUGUUGGAGUUCUGCUCUCCUGCCCUCCAACCCCAAAGAUGAAUCAUGAAAGAGGAUUCCUCCUAUCAGCUGAGUUUGCAGUUCAGAGCACAUGGCAGGAGAGGGAUAAAAACCUCAAACAAGAGAAACUAAGGAGCUCUAUACUGCUUGCAAUCUGGGGGGUAAGCAAGAGAUAUCCAGCUGUUUAGACUGGCUUAGCCCUAAAGGAUAUAUGGAACUUGUUGGCUAUAGAAGCUUCUAUUACCUUUUGAAACUUAAUAUUGUAACUCAUUUGUGAAUCUAUGUUUACCUGCUUUAACCUUGUAAAUAACUCUCUUGUUUUCUUUUCCUAUUUAAUAAACCGUCAUACAGUUUAUUAUAUGAUUGGCUACAAAUGUUGUCUUUUGUGUGAAAGCUAAGGUGUAACUGACCUGGGAUGAGCGACUGGUCCUUUGGGACUGGGAGUAACCUGAAUAUUGCCAUGAUUCUUCGUGUAAGGGACCAUCUUUCACAAA